rnacentral:rRNA from 1 species
GUUCAAGGGUACGUGAAACCGUUCAGGGGUAAACCUGAGAAACCCGAAAGGUCGAAUGGGGAAAUUCAUUCGCGUUUCGAUUGUCGACGUUGAAAUGUUGUGUGACUGACGGGGUACGCUUCGUUAGCACCUUCAGUUCUUCGAACCGACUUCGAACGCGUGCACUUUUCCCCUAGUAGGACGUCGCGAUCCGUUGGGUGUCGGUCUAAGGCUUGCGGUGGAGCUCGCGUGGACGUUUCGGCGUUCCACACGAACCCGUAGUGUCCCGAUCGACUCACUCGACGGUAUAAAGAUGGCGCGGGGCCGCUACACAGUUAGCGUUCGGCCUACGGCAAGCACGUACGGUGUUUGAUGGCGAUCAGACCUAGUCGGAUCCCGUCCCCGGACGACUGUUGGCACGUAGUGUUCUCGAACAGACCUCGUUGAAACGCCGAUCUGCGACGCUAUUGCUUUGGGUACUUUCAGGACCCGUCUUGAAACACGGA